AACGCGUCAGUAAGUGUUGUGUUGGGAAGAAAGAAAGAUCCACCAUGGCUGCCAUUUUUAAGCUGCUAAUCGUGGUGUUGCUCCUGUCCCUGGUCACCUGCGGCUUGGCGCUGCCUGAGGCCACGCGAAGGAAGGGCCACAGGAGAAGGGGCGGCGGUUAUGGCAAAGGCAGGGGAGGCGGGCAUAGGAGUGGCGGCUACGGCAAGAGAGGAGGCUAUGGGAAGUAAGAUUAAUUUGAGUUCCUGAUUCCACCACUACCAACACCACCACUACCACCGUCACAGUCAAGCCUGUCAUUGUCCCCGCUGGAUCACUUUCUCUUCGCUGCCUUCUGCCAAGCCACCCCCAACAGCAGAACUUUCCCUCCCUCGCUCUGAGUUUCCCUCAAGCCCAGGCUUAAAACUAUUCUGAAACACUUCUGCGCCGCAGCUCCACUACAUUCAGAUACUUUUUAAUGGUGUUUUUACGGUUCUGGUGACAGAUUUCUACAUCAUUAACAGGAGAAAGACUCUUGAGAACUCGGCUUAUCAUCUCUAUGGCCUUAGAAUAUAGUCGUGGUGAAGUUGCACGUUUUUUUAAGAUUUUUUUUUUUUUUCCGGUUCUAGUGACAGAUUCAUAGGACUUCUACACUGUUAACAGGAAAAACACCUUUGAGAAUCUGCUAAUGAUCUCUGUGACCUUAGAAGAUAUUCCUGGUGAGAAGGCAAAGCCUUUUAGAAUACAAACCUUAAUACAGCAACGCUGGUUUAUUCAUAGAAAAGAUUACUCCUUCAUUAUUUAUUUAGAAAACUUAUCCCAUCGCCUUAUAUAUUAUCAAGGAAUCGUGCUUUAUUUGUUUUCUUACUCGACUGAUUCACGUAGACAAGUCAAAUGUUUCCUUUAAGUCUGUGAUGCUGGUUGCCUUUCAAUCUGUGUGGCUUCUUUUCCUCAUGAGUGCUAUUACAAUGCGUAGCUGUGAAGUCCCUGUGUGCUGAUCUUGUGGAUAUGAGGAGUCUUCGCCUUUAAUAUCCUGCAUCCCUUACUUUAAAUUAAACACUGUAGCUAAUUUUAAACGGUAAUGACCAAGAGGCACACCACUUUUCAUUUCUUCUUUGGUGUCUGGGAUGUGACUGUCGCUUGAGGAAGUGAGGGUGUGUUUGAACACUUGUGUGAAGUGCUUAGAUCAUAUAAAAAAAAACAAGGGAAGCUGCAACAAGCCGUCAUGCUUACACCCUGUAUAAAACAUAUCUAUCUAGUUCCAUCCAUCAGCCUUAUCCAUAAAAUUGUCAAAUUUUUCUUUUACAGUUCCCUAAUGAUUAUUACUAAGUAUGUUCCAUUUAUCUGCCACUAUUUGAGAACUAAUUCCUUCCUAUCUCUUUUUUAAACUUAAUGAAACAUACCUACCCAUUUCUACCUAUCAAUUCUCAUCCAGAAAUUUCUCUCUUUUAAAGAUCCUUAAUAACUGAGCACUAGCAACCUGCUAAUUACUGAGUUUGAUCCAUUCACCUACCAUUGUGUGUGAGAUGUUUGUAUUUGUGGUUAGGUAGGUGCCUAUGUUUUCUAGUUCUCAGGAUCUCAAAUCGGUGCAAAAUAUACAGAAAUCGUAUUUUUCCAUAAACUGACAAAAAUGUAUUCGUCAACUCUUUGCACUCAUUUCACGUCCUCGUGACCACCUCAUUGAAACAUUAUCUUCGUGAGUCAUGCACCUUCACCGCUUGUUAUUCACCGAUCUAAUAAAAAAGUGAAAAAUUCAUAUGAAGUUGAAUAAAUUUGUGAAUUUUUACCUCUACAAUGUA